rnacentral:rRNA from 1 species
CCUACGGGAGGCAGCAGUGAGGAAUAUUGGUCAAUGGGCGCGAGCCUGAACCAGCCAAGUCGCGUGAGGGAAGACGGCCCUACGGGUUGUAAACCUCUUUUGCCGGGGAGCAACGGGCGCCACGUGUGGCGCCACUGAGAGUACCCGGAGAAAAAGCAUCGGCUAACUCCGUGCCAGCAGCCGCGGUAAUACGGGGGAUGCGAGCGUUAUCCGGAUUUAUUGGGUUUAAAGGGUGCGUGGGCGGAGCGUUAGGUCAGUGGGAAACUUGAGGGGCUCAACCCCUUCCCGCCAUUGAAACUGGCGCUCGUGAGUGGAGGAGAGGGAUGCGGAAUGCGUGGUGUAGGGGUGAAAUGCAUAGAGAUCACGCAGAACCCCGGUUGCGAAGGCAGCAGGCCGGCUUACUACUGACGCUGAAGCACGAAAGCGUGGGGAUCGAACAGGAUUAGAUACCCUGGUAGUC